rnacentral:rRNA from 1 species
AGUGAACGCUGGCGGUAUGCCUAACACAUGCAAGUCGAACGGCAACACAUUCAGAGCUUGCUCUUACCGUUGGCGAGUGGCGGACGGGUGAGGAAUACAUCGGAAUCUACUUUUUCGUGGGGGAUAACGUAUGGAAACUUACGCUAAUACCGCAUACGACCUACGGGUGAAUGCAGGGGAUCUUCGCACCUUGCGCGAUUCUUUGAUCCUAUUUCGGAUUGGCUAGUUGGCGGGGUAAAGGCCCACCAAGGCGAAGAUCCGUGGCUGGCAUGAGAGGAUGAGGGGCCACACUGGAACGGAGAGACGGUCAAGACUCCUACGGGAGGCAGCAGUGGGGAAUAUUGGACAAAGGGGGCAAGAAUGAUCGAGCAAGACCGCGUGGGUGAAGAAGGCAUUCGGGUUGUAAAGACCUUUUGUUGGGAAAGAAAAGCAGCAGGAGAAUACACCGAGGUUCUGACGGUACCCAAAGAAUAAGCAACGGCUAAAUACGUG